rnacentral:misc_RNA from 1 species
AAUUUAUCCAACUUGGAUGUUUUAUACAUGUCUUGUGCUGGAAAAGAUUUCAAAGACUGACCUAUUUUCUACAACAAAUUGCACAGCUUGUCAAAAGCCAAGAGAUCUGAGACGUAAGGAUCUGCAACUACAUUAGAUGAAACCAUGAUACAAAACCCAAUCAUCACAAAGUAUGGACCACAGAACAAGACCGAAUCUGGUUGUCUAGACUCUAAGAUUCUUUUUGAACAAAUUUCGGAGUUUUACUGCUUUUUCCUGAAUGCAAUUACAACAGCGGAGCAGUUAUCUUUGCAUUGACGCUCUCGGACUGCCUCUCGCACAAGGUGGCGACUCGCAGCUUUCACAGAUAGCCCCUCCUUUAAUAGCUUCUGAACAAAAUCAACAGCAUCACUUGGCCCAAAAACCUACAAUCA